CUUGGGGUUGGCCUGAACUUCUGUUUACUGCCCGGCCGGGCUGCAGAGCUCGCGGGUGGUGCUCACUGACUUAGCCCGAGGCGGGCCGGGUGGCGGCGUCCUGAGCGCCGCCACUGUUGGCCCGAUUGCCCAAGCCCCAGGUGUACAAGAUCCCAUGGAAGUCAGAAGAGGGCAUCACAUGCCCUGGAACUAGAAUUACAGGCAACUGUGAGUCCCCAUGUGGUUGCUGGGAAUCAAAUCCAGGUCUUCUAUAGUAUCAGUGAGUGAUCUUAACUGAUGAGCCAUCUCUUCAUUCCCCUGGGGGCAAUAUUACAGUGACCUAUUUAACAAGGAUCAGUUGUAGUCAGGGUUAAAUCUUUGGUUUUGCAUGCACCCUUAAAGAGGUAAGCAAUGAAGUCAAUACUUUUAAAAAACAGUCUUCCCAUUUCUUAAUCCUCUUAAAGAUACAUAUUUUUAUUUUUAAAUUAUGUGUAUGCUUGUGU
rnacentral:lncRNA from 1 species